GAUAAACGCUGGCGGCGUGCUUAACACAUGCAAGUCGAACGAAGUUUUUCCUUCGGGAGACACUUAGUGGCGGACGGGUGAGUAACGCAUGGGUAACCUGCCCUGUACAGGGGGACAACAGCUGUAAACGGCUGCUAAUACCGCAUAAGCCCUUAGCACUGCAUGGUGCAUAGGGAAAAGGAGCAAUCCGGUACAGGAUGGACCCGCGUCUGAUUAGCCAGUUGGCAGGGUAACGGCCUACCAAAGCGACGAUCAGUAGCCGAUCUGAGAGGAUGUACGGCCACAUUGGGACUGAGACACGGCCCAGACUCCUACGGGAGGCAGCAGUGGGGAAUAUUGCACAAUGGAGGAAACUCUGAUGCAGCGACGCCGCGUGAGUGAAGAAGUAUUUCGGUAUGUAAAGCUCUAUCAGCAGGGAAGAAAAUGACGGUACCUGACUAAGAAGCACCGGCUAAAUACGUG
rnacentral:rRNA from 1 species